UACGUAGGGGGCUAGCGUUGUUCGGAAUUAUUGGGCGUAAAGCGCGCGUAGGCGGUGAUGUUUGUCAGAGGUGAAAGCCCGGGGCUCAACCCCGGAACUGCCUUUGAAACUGGGUGGCUAGAAUCUUGGAGAGGCGAGUGGAAUUCCGAGUGUAGAGGUGAAAUUCGUAGAUAUUCGGAAGAACACCAGUGGCGAAGGCGACUCGCUGGACAAGUAUUGACGCUGAGGUGCGAAAGCGUGGGGAGCAAACAGG
rnacentral:rRNA from 1 species